GACCAUGGUCUCAGCAUAUGAGCCAUGCAUGAGCAUCAAUUACACUAAACAUAUCUAUAUAUACACACAAUACAUGAAAAGCAAACAAUCUACCUAAUGUUGAUUUCAACUGUCAAGUAUUGACCCAUCAGUGCAGAUGAAAGGGGGAGAGAACAGAUCCUCAAGCAAUUGAGAUACAAGACAGCAAUCUAUGCAAAACACAUUUAUUAAUAAUUGCCUAGGAAAUGGAUGCCUAUUUGUAAUUAUUUUAAAAUGCAAAGAUUAACAAAAUAGUUUUCCCCUCUUCUCACUAACGGUAAAUGAUUGCAUCUAAUUAAUUUACCUGUGUAUUGUUAUGAAUAAGCCUGUCCGUCAUAUCCCCCAUUUGCAUAAAAUACUAGUUUCCAAUGCUAUACUUCAACCACUAGAAACUUUGUGUAGGCAUUGUCUAAAGUUUGAGGGAAGUUGGGUUUAUUUUUAUGUCAAGUUCGGUUUUUAUAAAUGUCAACUUUUGCUUGAAAAAGCAAGUUUUAGGGUCCAUUUUGUACGUAUGCACGGUUUAUAAAUGUGCUGUGCUGUCUUUGGUAGAAUGGACUUUGCUCAAUGUACAAGGCUACGUCACCACAAGACGGCAGCAUUCUCUAAUAAUAAAUAGCCAAUUUCUGUUUCAUACUUCUCAAACUAGCUUAAACUUUCUGUGAUUUAAUUCAGCAAGACAUCAUCAUUUACAAAUUGAAAGGUUAUUAUGCUUCAGUUUCAUUCACUAUUGAUGGUGGUGACUGAUAACUCAAGGGUGGCCAGCCAACGUACAUUACUAUAUUAUGUUUAUUAACUGCGCAGUGUAUGCAAUAUUUAAGCCGAAUAAUAUAAUAGAGCUAUUCUUACUGUGCAUGUACUAAAAUACAUUAAGUCUACAGGUCAGUUCAUCUCGAUACUUCAAACCUAAGAACUUCACAAAUCCAGUGUGUGGGUCUUCCAGUGAGUUGGAGAGGAAUGAGGAACCAUGGCACAGUUUGAAAGCUUCAUAUGGACUAUACCUGUUAUAUUGGUGCUUGAAAGCAUUGGAUCCUGUAUUGCAUGUGGUAGAGCCGAGUACAGAAUAGGGGAUGAAUGCUGCCCCAUGUGUUCACCAGGAAAUCAUGUACAUAGGCAUUGUACUGAAUUCACCAGCACCAGCUGUGUGCCCUGUGUUGAUUCUACAUUCCUUGAUGAGCCCAAUGGUCUCAUAAAAUGCAAAGUGUGUACCAACUGUGAUCCAGGU